rnacentral:rRNA from 1 species
UACGAAGGGGGCUAGCGUUGCUCGGAAUCACUGGGCGUAAAGGGUGCGUAGGCGGGUCUUUAAGUCAGGGGUGAAAUCCUGGAGCUCAACUCCAGAACUGCCUUUGAUACUGAGGAUCUUGAGUCCGGGAGAGGUGAGUGGAACUGCGAGUGUAGAGGUGAAAUUCGUAGAUAUUCGCAAGAACACCGGUGGUGUAGACGGCUCACUGGACCGUAACUGACGCUGAGACACGAAAGCGUGGGUAGCAAACAGG